UCCUUCCUUGUCAUGGGGUGAGAGAGACGCUCAAUGAAUACUGAUUGAGAGCGUCUCAGCUGACGUCAUGAAACAACACUUACGCGCCAUCUGAGCUUCGGUUCAGUUCCGGUGCAAUUUUUGGAAAA